CGCCACCCUGGGAAAGCCAGUCAGAGCCGGUCUGGCCCCGGGGACGGUUGGUCCUCAGGGGCCUGGCUGCGGACGCCUCUGGCUGAGGGGGCAGGGUCGUUGUCACCCUGUCCGCCUGGUCCGGACAAAGGCUUCGGCGGGCAGCGGCCGUGGUACCGGUGGGCGGAGUCCGCCCUGUGUGGUGGGAGGCCGGAUAAUUUCUUCAUGUGUAGUAAACCUGAAAGAGACAAAAUACAAGCUACCUACUGGUGGUGAUUCUGUACGUAGGAUAAGCACCAUUGCUUCAGCCAUUGCAGAUGAAUCAGUGAGUGUUGAUCCUUCCCAACUUCCUUCCAUGAUCAAGGCACUUUCAAAUGAAACUAGAGAGAAGACUUUUCAGGAGGAUAAUGAACAGAAGGACUAUUCCACUGAGUCUCAUUUCUUGCCUAGUUGUAUAGGAAAAAGUAUUGGCUCCAGCAUGUUUGAUAUGAUGAAAUACCUUACCAGAACAGAAGUUAGUAGAUAUGAAUGUGGACUGGAAGACUUUUCAAGAGCCAGUAGUACAUCUGAUAUUUGGGAUUUAUCUUUGCCAAAAGAACAGACUACACAAGACAUCCAUACAAUGGACUUGGGUGCUACUAAUAAAACCUUAAGGGAACCCAGAAGAAAAUAUAGUAUUUACUUUUUAUGGUGAAAAUGGAAAGAGUGAGAAUCAGGAAUCAUUUGGAAAAAACUUUCCAUGUUCAAUUUUUACAAAUAGAAAUGAGAGUGAACAUAUGGUAGUUGACGUGAAGACCUAUCCUAGUGAUAGCAAAUUACCAGAUAUUGGUAACCAUGUAACAGCCCCAUCAGUAUCCACUCCAAAAUCUGAUAGUGAUUCAUUAGUAAAGAAUCCCGGCCCAGCAUACGUUUGGCUGUCAGAAAAGAGUGAAUAAAUACCAAAUAAUGAAGAAAAUCUGAGGGAAAAUGAAUGUGCUAGAGAAGCAAGCAACAGUGAAAAACAUGUGACUUUUGUUGGAAAACAUUGCAUAGUUGCACCUAAGAGUGUUGGUUUGCAAAAAUCACUCUCCUGAAGGUGGUGGACAUGGCUGAGGAAGGUAGCUUCAGACCUUCCUCUUCUCCACUGAAUCAUUCUCCAAGCGAAAUUUCUGAAACAAGUUUAUGAGGGUGAGCUUUAGAGUCUUUUGGUUCAGCAGCUCCUCAGAAGCCCCCCUGUGAGAGUGAGUCAUCUACGUUGGUGUGUCCACAAGCCAGUGUGGGUAGGCUUACUUACGUGUCUGAACAAGAGAGCACCUGUCCCACUACAGCCUCAGAUCAUGGCCUUGAGGAUCGCAAGGGUUGCUUUUGUAAUGAAGAAGCAAUUAAAUACUCAUCUACUAGGCAAACAUGGAGGUGGCAUCCCAAAAGAAAGCAUGUCUCAUUGGCUAUCAUGAAACCUGUGGCGAUGAAAAUAGGUGCAUGUGUAUCGUUAUCAGUUACCAGUUUCAGGCCUGGAGGACCGAACCACGUACAAUGGGCAGUUAUUCCUUGGUAGUAGAAGAUUUUUCUACUGAAGCAACCGAGAAGCUACAUCUCUGCUGUCCUAAUGUCUUGUCUGGUAGCCCCGUUUCUGUCUUAAAAAUUACCUGGUUGAUGUCAAAGUGAAAUGAUACGGAGAUUCAUUUCUGCCCAUUUCUGGUCUUCUGGGGGAGUGACCUGCUUUGCUGAUUCCCAGGUGUGUGCACCUGGGAGAGCUGCUCAGCCCUCUGCCUCGUGCAUGGCUCAGCAGGAGUUGUUUAUCCUGUGAGACCCCAUGAGGAACAACAACAGUGGCGGUGGCCAGCUCUGGGGCCCUGGAUUCAGCUCCCACAGUCAUCAGCUUGGUGGCAUUCACCUCAUGGAACCUCCUGAAUCCUCCUCUCUCAUUCGUCAUAUUUCAAAGCUCCUGACAGAAAAGGUUCAUGUACCCCAUGAUAUAACCGAAGUACAAGAUGUUAGAGGUCAAGCCCAGUUAGCAAUUUCAGACAAGACAGUGUAAGUGUGUAUACUUAGUGUAAACUGGUGAAUGUCUGGGACCACAGACAUCAGAACAACAAAGACCUAAAAGUCAUCUUGUCCAGCAAGGAGAGUGUGGUGGUUUCUCUGGCCAAAGCAUUAUUCUGGCAAGGGACAACUGAUGUCUGAUCCAUCAGGUCCCAGCCAGGGAAGAGUGGCUACUACGCAUCCGACCAAGAAGCUGGGGCCUUCAGGGAAUUUCUGCCUUCAAGAGAGCUGCCAAAGGAAAUACAGGAAGGCAGGAAAUCCUAGCUCAGAAGUCAGCACAGAUGUUCAUGGAACCUGGCCCAGGUGUGACCUUCAAUGUACACAAAUAUCUUUCCCCCUCAAGAAAACCAAGAGGGAAAGGAAUUCAGAGAUCACUGACGAGGAUCCCAGGAGGAUUCCAGUGUUGGUCAGGGGUGAAGUUGGAACCCCUGGAGUGAGACUGAGGAUGGAAAGUCCUGCCUGCCCUUAUUUCAUCCACUAAUUAUCUUCCACUGGCCUCAUGCCUUCCAUGUGCAGGAUAUAGUCUCUUUACAUGUUUGUCCCCACUUUAGUGUUGAUGCAAUUCCAGAGGUGGAACUAGACAACUACACGUUCCUAAUAAUGGAACUGUCAAACCCUAAAACCCAAGCCAAAAUCAUCUACAUCGCAGAAAGUGGCAAGAAAAAGUCCUCCUUCCUUUAAACUGUACAAAGGGAGCCACUGUCCUUGGGCAGGAGGUAGUUCUGGCAAGUGGUAUCCUUCAAGACCCCCAAUUCAGUGAUUGUUGCUAUUCCUGUGGAAAUACCUCCAACCUCUAAAUCUCAGCAGUUAAGAAGAGGUGUUUCUGCUGUUUGCCCGAGUUCCUUACACUGUCCUCUGAGAAAGGAGGGCUUGGGGAUGCCCUUCAGUAGCUAGGGAGGAAGGCUGGAUCUUCUACUUUUUCCCACAUACAAGAGCUGAUGACUCUGUAAGAUUUCCUGUUUAAAAUGAGCAUAAGAGGGUAACCUGGGUGGCUCAGUGUUUGAGCAUCUGCCUUUGUCUCAGAUCAUGAUCCUGGAGCCCUGUGUUUGAGUCCCAUGACAGGCUCCCCACAGGGAGCCUGCCUCUCUCUCUGUGUCUCUCGUGAAUAAAUAAAGAAUAUUUAGGGGGGGAAAAAGAAAAUGAAUAUGAGACUCUUCAAGUCUUUUAGAUUACUAUAGGAAGUAAAAGAACGAAACUACUCCUGGACUCUAAAAAGGCUUUAAUAUUAUAAUAUUGAAAUCUACCAUUUACUCUUUAAGAUGAUGAAAUAUUGGUCCUCCAAAUAAGUGAAGAGACGGAAGGAAGUGUUGUUGAGCAGACGGGUCCCAUGCCCGCUGUUGCCCCUGGACACCAGCUCAGGCUGAGGUUGACUGUGGCCAGUUCUUUCUGUUUGUGAGCUAGGUUUGGGGCGCCAGCUAGCAGGACAAGAUGUAGCUAAGGACAGAGUGACACAUGUCAGUUGAGCAGGAGCUUCAAUUCAGGAGUUUUUCCUGAUAUUUUCGAAGGAGCUGGAGCCUGGUGCCCCAGCAGCAAGGUUGGAGGCUGCCCCAGGAGCCAUAUUAGAAGGAUCCCUGGAGUGGCCACCUGAGGAGUCUACCCCUACCCUCAUUCAGCUCCUGAUGGGCCUCACCUCUCCUCUUCACUGAGCCACUUCCCAGACUGGAACCAGGCCCUAAAUGGAUGCUUGGGCUCUACGUUGUAAUGAUCUGCAGCCACCUGGAGCAGCAUGAUCUCGGUCAUGAAUCUGCAUUCCUGGGCCAAAAGAGAAGGACAGGAUGCAUGAAGAGCCUGGGUGGGGAAGCUACAAGUCUUUGGAGGGCUGAGCACUGGGACAGGGGAACAGUGCUGGGUCUUUGACACAUGGCAACACCCCCGUCCUACAAAUUCAUCCCAACUUGUUCUCAGAGGUGAGUAUAAACUGCCCCUGCUCUGGCAAGUUAUCCUUGAUGGCCAUUCCUCUGUCCUCACUUACUGCAUGGGACUUUUUCCUUAUUAUGAAACUAUUCCCAAAAAUGUGAGAAUGAAGGGAUGGAAGCAAGGAAUGAUCCUCCUGGGGACAUCUCUGACAGCCACAGCCCUACCCUUUCCUACAGGAAGUCAUAGAGAGCCUCACCUUAUUCUUCUUCCGGUGGUUGAACUCAUUGCCCUGGAAAGCAGACAACCAAAGUCUGUCAGUGACAGGACUCCGGUGAUUACUGGCUGCUAAUACCCACCCCUUCUCAUGUUGCACUAAGGCCAGGCACACAAGGGGCCAUGACUUCCCGGAUGACAGGACUGCAAUCUAGGUCAGGCUCUGGGAGCCAGGGAAAGGAAGACAUGGGGUGGCAGUUCUGGCAUCCUAUAGCACAGGAAGGGGAGGCCAAAGCCUCAAGUGGGCAGGAGAUGCUAGGCUCUUUAAGUGCCCGCUCAAGUUGGAGAUCCUGACUUCACUCUGCCCCCACAGGCAAUCUCAAAGGGACAGGCUGAAGUCAACCCAGACUAACCUCGUGCUGCUUUGCAUUCAGGCAGCAGAUUUGAUCUCAGGACCAGUGAACUAAGUGCAGCCUCCCUUUACUCAUCACAGACAUGGGCAAGUAACUCUAGCUCACAGGGGCAGCGGGGAGGCUGUCACAAGGGGAAAAUUAAAAAAAAAAAAAAAAAAAAAAAAAAAAAAAAAAAACAAGGGGAAAAUUUGCCAAGGACUGAGAGCUCAGGGCUCAGUUCAGGGGUUCUGUGCUCCCACACAUCAGGAUUCUGGCCCCUCCUUCCCAGCCCUCAGGCUCAUGCACCUCCAGGUACUCCUCCAUUGCAGCAUCCAGCAUGAGCAGGUCAGUGAGGAAGGUGCCAAGGAAGGGGACGACACCCUGUGUCAGGGGGUUGGGGGUGGAGUGAGUUCCUGCUCUCUCGUGUCCACAGCGAUCCUCCCCGGGAAACAUUCAGCCUCCUGGCCCACCCCAGCUUACCACAUGGUGCAGACAAGGACCCUUCCCUCACCCUCCAAGAACAUCAGAGUCCUCCUAAUUAUUUCAAGGGCGUGCUUUAGAAAAUCAUUGUAUAUGUGGCCCUGGGCCCCUGUCCACCGACAAACACAUUUGUAUCUAGGUUUAGAUACAGGUCACUUCAAAAGAAGGGAUUUAGAAGCUGUGGCAACAGGAGGUGGAGCUGGAGUUGGAAGGCCCCACCUGUCUUGAUUUGGGGGCUUCCAGCUUUCAGAGAAGACCCCCGUCUCCUCUGGAUUCGAGGCCAUGUAUCUGGGCCAUGCUCAGCUUCUUCUGCCACUCCCUCUUCCAUGCUCUCUGAACAUUUACCCCCAGGGUUCCAAGUUUAGAUGGACGUUCCUGCAGGGCUAAGGACAAGUUCCUCAAGAUCAUAAUCACCUCAGGCUGCUUCUCCCCACCAUCUUUGACUCAGACCCUGGACAUCUGACGCAAGGCAGAGGGUAGCAUGCUACGUUAUCCUUAAGCCUGCCAUCUAGUGAUUCUAGAACAAUCUCAGCUCCAUAUUCACUCCCUGUGUGACUUUGAGCUUGCAGUCUGGCCUCCCUGGGAAAGGUUGAGAAUUCCAGCUACCUCCCUUGGUCUCCUGAGGACCCAGUGUCCUAUUCCUAUCAUCAUUGUUGUGGCCCUCAUCCCAUCCAAACCCCUAACUGAGCAGAGGCAUGUCCUCUGGGCUCUCAAGUUUGGUAGAGGCCCCCAUCUGGACCAGCUGGUGUCAGGGAGCUCGUGUGUCCAGCCUAGGGAUUCUGGUAGAGCAGCAACUGCUUUUCUACCCCUUGUGGAUUUUCACCCCUGGCUGUGUCCACAUUCAUGCAAAAGGCUUCACUCCCUGGAGGAAUGCUCCUGGCCAGUCCCUAAUUCAUUCACGAAGGACACUGUUGCUCCCACACCUCUUCUCUUUCUAUACCAACACCUUCCAUGCUACCUUGAUAAGCAGGUUCCUGCUCUGUGGAUUGUCUUUGGUGCACAAUUUUAAAACAUGUUCGAAUGUUAUUCCUGAAUAGAGAGAAAGAAGGCAGGAUGGAUGUUGGAAUACUAUGGUAGGGUUGAGUGCAAGUCCCUAUGAUCUGAGACCUCAAAGGAGUCAAACUGCUGGAUCACGGUUUUCUUUGGGUUCCUCUGAGCACUUAGGUCAUUGGAGGACACAGGAGGGAGCUCUCUUGUGGGUCAUCCACUGCAUCCAGUCCCCUAUUAAUUGAACAGCUCUCCUUUGGUCAGUUUUUGUUUCAAUUGGGAAGAGACUUUAGUUGCUGUAAUGUUCAUAUCCUAAAACUUUUAAUUCAGCUCAGCCCAGUCUCCCCAAAUGGGGACAUUUGGAGGCAUGGUGGCCUAUUCCCCAGGAAGGAGGAGAAAAUAACCUGCCCCCCUGCCCGCCCACGUCCUGUUUCAUGGUUUGCUGCCUCCUAGGAAGUCCAGGGUGACUGAGGGGGUGAAAAGGACAGGCAUAUGGGACAUCCCUCACCCUUCAUGGUCCUUCUGGAGAGAGGACCCCUCACCUGGAAACUUUGGUCCAUGUGAUCUUCAGGCGGUGAAUUGAGGCACUCUGAAGAGCAGAGAUGAUGGCAUUCAUGGAAGAGUAGUUCCGCAAGAUUUGACAGGCCUGGGGACGGAAGAGAAUGAGCUGUCAGGUGGAUAGCAGGAGCCCAAUUUCCUGGAGAGCUGCACUCCUCUUCAGUGUCAGUCUCCUCUCCUGGAUGAGACAGAUGUCUAGGGACCUACAGAAGGGCACGUGGAAGACCCAGCGAGGAGCACUGCUGGGGAGAGGGGGCAUUUUCCUUCACUCCAAGGAAAGAGUCAUGUAGGAACUGAGCAUCCCAAAAUUGGGCCAUGCAAGGAAAGGUCAGCAUGCCCCUUGAAAGAAGAACUCAGACCAGAGACUUCCAACAUUGAGAACUGAUCAAGGACAGAGCAGUUCCCGAGGCUCAGGAGAGCAAGUCAGCUGGGCCUCCUGUAGGCUUACCUUGGCCACCUUGAUCCAGUGCUCCACCACCAUGGCCUGUCCCGGGCCAUCAUGCGUGCGUUGCCAAGGAAGGUGGUGAUGACGCAGUUGGACACAUCGUUGAACUGGGUGAUGGUGGCAUGGACUGUGCAUGGCAGGUGCUCAUUUCCAGGUUCAUUUCGCUUGGACCAAAUGGCACCCAGGCACUGUUGGGGCAGCAGCUUCUUGAACAGAUCCUAGAGAAUAGGGGGACACUCGCUCUCACAGCCAUUUCACAUGCAAGAUUCAUGUCCUAUGUAGGGGUCCCAUGUCAGAGCUGGGGCUCAGCAAGCGCAGAAAGUGGCCUGAACCCAGUUAGAGUCCCUGGAUUGCACUCCAUUCCUCUUCCCUGAGGGAGCCCAGUACAGGAUGAACGAGGAGCGGAUACUGCCGUGGGGGAGCAGAGGAAGGAGGGCAUUUGUACCCUGAUCAUCCCCACUAACUUCAAGUUCAAGGGGGCUCCUCAGAGGGGCAUCUUCCCCUCCCAGUGUUCAUGCCUCUGGUCCUACUCCCCUUUCAGCAGCACAUUCUCACAGAGAGAGGUACAACCACAGGUUUAUCUCCCUGCCCUGUACUUCACACAUUAGAUGACUAAUAAAUGUAGGUUGCUCAGCCUCCAAGGCAGAUGUGUGGGUGAGCCGUGGGCUUGGCCGCACACAGUGAGUUGCCCUCCUCCACCCAAGGACCAGUGCCUGCCCAUUUGCCUAUCAGUUCUGGCUCAUUUAAUUGACACAGGAACUCUGCAUCAGUCCUUGCCAGGGUCUAUCUCCAAAGUCUGCAGCUGGACAGUGAAAGCAAGGGUUUGAGGAACUGGACGGGUUGAUGUGGUUCGUAAGUGAUGGAGCUGAGAUUUGGACCCUGACCUUACAAGCCCACAUCAGGGAAGGGCAGGUCUGGGGUAGAUGACAGCAGAAAGAAAGCCUGCCCCGGCCCCGGCCCCGUCCUGGGAGCCCAGCUGCUCACCACAUCUAUGGAUGUCAAUUGCUCUGCCACCAGCUUGGGAGGGAAGUCCAUGAGACCGGGCUUCUCCUCAUGUAGCUGGUGCUCGGGAGUUAUGCACCAGUGGCAGGUCGCCUCUGGGGCUGGAGGUGGCUCUGUCUCUAUGUUUAGGGAAGGAGUUACAAUUCCCAGGAAAGCUGGUGGUCGAACUGACUGCAGCUCAUGACCUGGUACACAUGCAGAAGAAGACAUGAGCUCUUGUUCCAGAUCUGGAACAGCUGAUCGAGGAGAUGCUGGAAGGAGCCAUGGAGCUGGCACUGGGACAGGAUAAAGAGAAAUGUUUGUCCACAAGACUGACUUGCCCCAUGCCCUUCCAAAAACAGGGCAGAUUCCAUGGCCAAUAGAGAAACCCCCAGUCCCUGAACCGCAUUGCAGAUAGUCUUCCCAGCUUGCAAUCCCCCUUACCCUCUGACUCUGUGUCUGCCUCAGUGAGCUGCAGAAUUUCCCGUGGCAUCACGGUAAUGGAGGUAUGGCAAUUCAUGUCCCAGUCAUGCAAAUUUGCCUGCACCCAGGCCCCCUUUCCUUUGAAACAGGCACAGUGCAGGGACUGCCAGGUGUCCUGCAGUUUCUGGUCAGGCCAGGUACCCAAGAUGGGAGAGAGGGUGCUGGGGAGAGUCAUAUGUGGAGCAGCAUCACAGCAUAGUCUUUCAUGCCACAUGGUACUUCCAUAGCACCAUUCUUUCUGUGUGGGCCCCAGAGAAUGUCCCCAGCAUGACUUCCAACCCCCCUAUUGCUGUGCUUGCAGUGGAUGAUCCGGUCGUCCAGAAAACCUGUAUGAGUCUCGUUUUUCUACUUAGCCUGUUUUCUCAAUGGCCAAGGGCCUCGUCUACUCCAUCCUUCAUGCACACCAGUAUCAGGGCUUAGGUUUGUGGCAGAUUGGUGAGUGGUCUGCUCACCAAAGUUCUGUUCUUGGCCCCAGUUGUGGAGGUCAGAAGAGGUGGUAUAGAGAGGUGCAGGAAGAGAUGGGACAGUUGAAGAGAUGGAUGUUUGAGGCACCGAAUCAGCCCAGACUGUGCUCUGCUUCCCAGAGGGCUUGGGACCCCAUCUACAGCUCCCUUUGACUCAUUUCCCUCUUCACAGGAAGCCCCAAAAAUGAAACCCUCCCAAUGGAAAUCAAGAGACCUAUGAGAUCCAUGGCUCUGAGAGUUACUCCCCAGCCACAAACCCUUAGUCUCCCAACAUGCUCUGUGGAGAAAUUAAGGUUCUCCUUCUGGAUCCAAAGAUCAAAGUUUUACUUGAUCUUUCCCAAAAAUUUUUAAGGAUAUUUAUUAGAGCGAGCGAGCGAGUGAGCGAAUAAGCAUGGUGAGCAGGCUCCCCACUGAGCAGGGAGCCCAAUAGAGGGCUCAAACACAGGACCCUGGGAUAACAACCUGACCUUAUGGCAUAGGCUUACCUGAAUGAGCCCCUCAGUGCCCUUACUUGAUCUUAUGGUCCAUGAUAAUGGUCCAGAUAUGGGUGGAUCCAUUCAUUCUUUGAGGCGGCCAUGAAGAUGUCACAUCUAAAAAACUAUGGACAUGUGUGUCUACGACACGCAGAGUGAUUGUCUGACACUCUGAUUAGUCUUGGGACCGAGACACUGUACCUUCUUUAUUCCUUCAAUUAUCUCAGUGAAUAGAAAUGUGUCUGCAAUACGAGGUGCUUAAUAUGUAUUAUUGGAUGAAGGAAUCCCAACCAGCACUUUCCGUAUACUGAGUGGAACUUGAGCUGCUCUGCCUUCCCCCAGUGACCUCUACUCUUAUGAGGACAGAGUAUCAGGACCUCUUACUUAUGUGGACAGAGUAUCAGGACCAGUUAGAUGGAAUCUCAGAAGUCCUUUGCAUACAGGAAAACUGCCUGCUUUGCAUGUGCUUCUGUAAAACCAGAAGUGCCACAGGCCCACGGGGGUUGAUGUGGAGACCUUCUUAACUGUGGAGAGAAAACUGCUACACAUGAAGAUGCCCAGCAGCCCUUUCUACAGAGCCAGGCACCAGAUAAGUCUAUGCCAUGUUUUCUCUCAGGAUUUCCACAGUAGCCCGAUGAGGUUCAUCCUCUUACCACAGCACUUUUUAGAGGAGCAAAAGGAAGCUCAGAGAGGUGCAGUGACAUUCCCAAAACAUACUGGUAGUAGAGGCGAGACCCCCCUCCCCCAUGCUGCAUAUGGGGUGGUCACUCACUUGGGGAAUUGCUGGCCCAGGACCUGUUGGGCUGUGGUGAACACCUGGUAGAUACAGGAAAUGACUGGGUUGUUUGCGAGGCUUCUAUCCUGGAAGGAUGGUACCAAGGACUGUACAAAAUUAUCCAUUCUCCCUUCUUUGAGCAUCAGCAUGGUCCUGGCCUCACCCAGGAAUAGGGUUGAUUCCUUUUCACACCAGAGACACAAGGAGGAGCACUGUAGUCAGCUUCCAAACCAAGAACCACUGCGAAGAUCAGGGUCUGGCUCUCAGACCAGACUCCCAUCCCCUCAGGAAGUUCUACAGGACAAGGGACUUGAGUGCUCACACAGAAAAAGGUGUGAGGCUUCAAAAUAUCAUUGGUUUUAGGGAAGACAUGGUAAACCAUUAGUAACUUCAACACAUUCUGUUAGCUGAGCAACAACAGCAUUCCUCUCAACUAAUAGUUUUAUGAAGACCAGUAUGCCAUUGAGUCUUCAGUUACGGCCUCACACAGAACACAGAGGGCUAGACCCUCACAUGCUGCUUAAGAUCACAUACAUUGCAGCUGAGAAGAGACCAGAGCGUGAGCUGCAUGGGGUUUCCCUUAAGCUGAUGUGGCUUGGUCUGUUCCUGACAUAGGGAGGAAGGGUCAGGGGAAAACUACCUUCUCCUGCAAGGCCCAAGGGCAUCAUUUGUUUCUAGUCUGUGUUCUGGUCUUGCCCUGAUCAUCUCUGUGUCUUGAGUUUGACCAUGAAUGUGGACCUGUUCUUACCGCAGACCUUCAAUGGAAGUAGUUGGUGGCCUGAUGCCCCUGUGCUUGUCAGAGGAGCUGGAGGAGUUCAACUCUUGGAGCAACUCAUCCAAGAUCUCCUGGGUGGGUCAUUACAAAAAGAGCCAGCUACUGGUGCCAGGAGGCAUCAGAGGCCUUCCCCCUAAUCUGGGGUUCCAGGAUAUGGCAGAUCUAGCAACCAAAACAGUCUGUGGGGACACACACGGUGUUCCUUGCAGCACUGCAGAAAUGGCAAGAGAAUGGCAUCAGGUCGAGUGCCAAGGGUCUCGAAAGUCUGAAUCCCUGUGGCAGACGGCCUCAUUUAUGGACUACUACAAAGAUCUAUAGGGAUACAGCUCAUGUCCUGUUGGGCCUACAAUGAUUUGAUGUGUUCUGAGAGACGACAUGUUAUAGAGAAACAUAUAGAGAGAAUCUAUAGAAACUAUAUAAACAUUCUAUAUGAAAACAUAUACAAUGGCUUCAUCACACCCUUUUGUGUUAAAUCACCCUCUUUAGUGUGAUAUUUGGAAAGGCUCGGAGAAGGUCUGCAGGGACAGUGGAGCUGGCUUCUACACAGGAUAGCUGGGAGGAGUACGUGAAAUAAUAAAAACAGAAGUAAAACGCAAAGAUACUCAUGGCUUUGUGAACCCCCCCCCACCAA